CGCUGGCGGCGUGCUUAAUACAUGCAAGUCAACUUGACUUUAGAUAGCAAUAUCGAAAAGUAGGGUGGCGCACGGGUGCGUAACGCGUAGGUAUCUGCCCUGAGGUCUGACAUAACCCGUCGAAAGGCGGGCUAACAUCAGAUGAUAUAUAACCACGACGUCGUGGAAAUAUCAAAUCUUCGGAGCCUUGGGAUGAGCCUGCGUCUGAUUAGGUAGUUGGCGGAGUAAUAGCCCACCAAGCCUACGAUCAGUAGCUGGUCUGAGAGGAUGAUCAGCCACACUGGAACUGAGACACGGUCCAGACUCCUACGGGAGGCAGCAGUAAGGAAUAUUGCUCAAUGGGGGAAACCCUGAAGCAGCAACGCCGCGUGAAGGAUGAAAUACUUUUGUAUGUAAACUUCUGUAAGAUGGGAAGAAUAUUCUCCUCGGGAGAAUUGAUUGUACCAUCAGAGUAAGCCCCGGCUAACUACGUG
rnacentral:rRNA from 1 species